UAGUGGCGCACGGGUGAGUAACGCGUACGUAAUCUGCCUUUGUCUGGGGGAUACACACGGGAAACUGUGGAUAAACCCGCAUGAGAUUUACGAACGGCAUCGUUUGUAGAUGAAAAGAGAUGGACAGAGAUGAGCGUGCGUCUGAUUAGCUAGUUGGUGAGGUAACGGCUCACCAAGGCGACGAUCAGUAGGGGGCGUGAGAGCGUGACCCCCCACACGGGUACUGAGACACGGACCCGACUCCUACGGGAGGCAGCAGUAAGGAAUAUUGGUCAAUGGGAGGAAUCCUGAACCAGCCAUGCCGCGUGCGGGACGAAGGCCCUUUGGGUUGUAAACCGCUUUUGUCAGGGAAGAAUGGGUUAGAUUUAUCUAAUGAGAGACGGUACCUGAAGAAUAAGCACCGGCUAACUCCGUGCCAGCAGCCGCGGUAAUACGGAGGGUGCAAGCGUUAUCCGGAAUCACUGGGUUUAAAGGGUACGUAGGCGGUUUAAUAAGUCAGGUGUGAAAUACCGCGGCCUAACUGCGGAACUGCACUUGAUACUGUUAGACUUGAGAGGAGUGGAGGUAUACGGAAUGCAUCAUGUAGCGGUGAAAUGCUUAGAUAUGAUGUAGAACACCGAUAGCGAAGGCAGUGUGCCACACUUUAUCUGACGCUGAGGUACGAAAGCGUGGGUAGUGAACAGGAUUAGAUACCCUGGUAGUCCACGCCCUAAACGAUGCUAACUGGACAUUUGGUCGUAAAGACU
rnacentral:rRNA from 1 species